UGGAUACAGACAGUUGCAUAGAAAGAACUCACGACGACAUAAAGCUGACAUGAUUACAACUAUGGCACCAACUUCUCGCACUCAAUAAAACCUUCUCAAAAACUCUCUUUUUACCACCGCCGCCCCCCCGCCCGCCGCCAUCACGGCACACUCUCUCUGCCUAAGCAUUAAAACCCACGCAUAGACAUCUUUUCAUUCACAUACCUGGCAAGUUUCUUUCUUUCUUUUUGUUUUUUUUUUCCCUUCCAUUUCUUUGCGUUCUUUAACUACAUGAACGUGUAAUGGGCAACCUAUGCACUUGUUUCUCUCCCAAAACUCCUGUAAAAACCAAGAAACCCACAAAACGUUUACAGGGUAACCCGCAAACCGCACCCAAUUCAAGCAACAGGUGGACCCGGAUCCGAUCAACCCGUAAAGACAACCAUGAUGAAUUGAUUCACGAACAGGCUUUAGCUGCAGCAAUUCUGUUUAGGCAGCACCAGCAACAAAACGGUUCCGCUUCCGGGUCAUUUCCUUUUGAUCGCUCCGUUUCUUUAAGAUACCCGAACGGUUCAGGGUCAAAGAAGACCCAGUUGCCUCGGAGCUCUAGUUCUCGAGCCCGGUCACUUACUCACCCGUUAUUGCAGCCUCAUCAGCUUGUUAACCAGGAUAUUAAGCUUGAUGAUCUUGAGACCAACCACUUUGUCCUCGUCCAUGGAGGUGGCUUUGGUGCCUGGUGUUGGUAUAAAACUAUAGCACUUCUAGAAGAGGGUGGUUUCAAAGUUACUGCGGUGGACUUAACUGGCUCUGGCAUUCAUUCUUUUGAUACAAAUGGCAUCACCAGUCUUUCUCAAUAUGUGAAGCCUCUUACUGAUUUUCUUGACAAGCUGGCUGAUGGGGAGAAGACAAUAUUGGUGGGCCAUGACUUUGGUGGUGCUUGUAUAUCAUAUGCAAUGGAGUUGUUUCCUUAUAAAAUUUCAAAGGCUAUUUUUGUUGCGGCGGCAAUGUUGACUAAUGGACAAAGUACUCUUGAUAUGUUCUCCCAGAAGGUGGCAGGUUCGAGUGAUUUAAUGCAGCAGGCACAAGUAUUUGUGUAUGCAAAUGGGAAUAAUAAUCCUCCAACUGCCAUUAAUCUGGACAAGUCAAUAUUGAGAGAUUUGUUGUUCAAUCAAAGUCCUGGCAAGGAUGUAGCAUUGGCAUCUGUUUCAAUUAGACCAAUUCCCUUUGCACCGGUUUUGGAGAAGCUUAGUCUUUCUGACUUGAAGUAUGGAACUGUGAGGAGGUUUUAUAUAGAGACUCCUGAAGAUAAUGCCAUACCUAUCACAUUACAGGAAAGCAUGAUAAACUCAAGUCCCCCAGAAAAAGUAUUUCGUUUAAAAGGUGCUGAUCACUCGCCUUUUUUUUCAAAGCCACAGGCCCUGCACAAGUUAUUGGUAGAGAUAUCGAAGAUAUGAUCCCAUCAACUUGAAAGUUUUUGGUUAUUAUUUAACACCCUCUCUCAAAAUCCUCUUACAUAGAGCUUCAUGGAGUAGUACAGGAUUGCUACUCUCAUCGGUCUUCUCUGCCACUGAUUAGAAGAAAGGAUUCUGGGUGGUUAUGUACAUGCAAAUAGCAUUAGAUAUUGUCAUCUAUUCGCACAAAAUUUCUAGCAUCUUCUGCCACUUAUCUUUUCCUUUUCUUUUUCUUUUUUUAUAUGGGGGAGGGGUGUUACAGAAAUGAUGUACUUCGCUCUCGUCCGUCAUUAGACUUGCUAAAUUGCUUAUGUUAACACCUUCAGACAAGUAGCUUGGGUUUGUUCAUAAUCUCAGUAGACGGGUAGCUUGAGUUAAAGCUUGUUUGGAAAAGGAGAAUACAAGAGAAUUGGGUGAAAAAUCCAAGAUAGAACGGUGAGUGAUGGCAGCAUACGUAUUAAUGGAAAAGAGCAAUUUAUUAUAAUGGGAUCAAAAUUUAACAGGUCUGCUGAUGUCAAUUUGAGGGCCUGAAGUAUUGUUUUUAAAAGAACAGGGUGCAAAUGAUGUGGGGAUAAUAGAGGGUGUUUUGAAGCUACUGCAAGUCUACCUUCCUAGGCUAACUUCUGAGGUUUCUUUCUACGAACAUGGUGCAUCAGCACAUCUGCUAGACAGUCCAUGUCGGUGCUGUUUACUUGGAAAGGGCUCGAUCUUGAGUCUAAACUGGAAACCAAAUACAGCUCUCAUCUGUUGGAUAGUGUUAGCUUCUGGUAGAAAUCUAUACUGGUAUAAGACAUUGAAGUUCUGAGUGAUACCCUCUUCUUGUCUUGUAGUUCUUUCCUUCUGCGUCGACUUUGAUCAAGAUGAAGGGCAAUUCUGCUGGAAUCCAUUCUGGUCAGAUGUAGGGUAAUUCAAGAACAAAAUUCAUACAUAAAUCCGCCUAAAUAACCUUAAGAACUUGUAAGAGAACAUAUGAAUACUUGUAUGUUCCCUGGUAGUUUGGCAAAAACAAUAGUUGUAAAUAAAUUCACUAGCAUAAGUCUUCAUUUGUAGCCAAUAGGAUCUCUCACAA